AUAGAAUAUUAAGCACUACACCAUGACUUAAGAUUAGCUUCACGAGACCUAUUAAGAAUAGAAUUUCUUGUAGGCUUUGUGACCAGGGGGAUUAGCGCUGCUUUCCCAAGACAGGUUUAUAUGUGAUUAUGAUCUUCAGGCUUUGCCUAACCAGGUUGGCUGGCCGGUGCUGACGGGACGGAGCUGAGGCUAGAGAUAAAUUCCUAUGUUAGACUUCCGCUGUAGCAAUUACUCUUAUACAUCUUUUGUUUUCUCAACUUAAGAUGACUUCAUUUGAGCUUCAAUUUAAAAUUUAUAGUUUUAUGUUAAUGAACGUCGGUUGUCAGAAGCAUGAAACAAAACUUGUGAUCCAAAGGGGCCUAGCCUGACUUUCUAUCCUAUUUCGGGUUUUAACAAGGUAUUUCCCUUGUUUAUUUCUAUGAAUUAUUCACACCUCGAUUAUAUUUA